UGCAAGGUCAGGACUAUACGGCGGAUGC
rnacentral:piRNA from 1 species